UGAAUCAUUGCUUUUUAGACUUAUUUUCCUUACAAAUCUUUUUCACCGUAUUCAUGUGUGAGACCAUGUUUAUCUCAGGUUUCUAACCGGGUCUUUAACAAAAAUAGAUGAUUUAAUUAAAUCAAAAAUAAUUAUAAAGUUCAUUACCGAUCUUUAAGUGAGGAUUCUGGAAAUCGAUUUUAAUUGGGGUUUCACAACCACGUGUCAGCAAAGGAAAGGCACCAGAUUUUUUUUCUAUCUUCUUUUCUCUUUUUUUUUUUUGUUUUCUCAUCUUCUCCGUCAUCCGACGAAAUCCACCACCUCUUCUCUCGGCUUCUCCGUCAGAGACGAUCGACGACUUUGUCGGUCAUCACGGCGUAUUCUCCGUGUUCUCCGUCAGACGAGCACUCGAAACCCACCAAGAGGACAACAUGAUUUGGAUGUUGAUUACCGUCAGAAGAGGACAGCAUGAUUUGGACGCUGAUUACCGUCAUAAGAGGACAGCUCUCCCACAAAACUCUCUCUUUAAUUCUUCUAUUUUAGAUAACUUCAGUCCACGACUUGAAUUACUUGUCUCAGAUGCUGUGAAGAGGCAGAUGACUAAGGACGGUGAAAAGCAUCAAAAGGUACAAACUUUUUUAAAACCCAACAAGAUUCGAUUCUUUACUCUUUAUUAUCAUAGAUGAUGACAUGGUAUUGGUCGAUAAGAUUUCAACCUGACGUUACCAUAUCAUGGAGAGACUAUUUCAUUAGAGGAAAGAGAGCUACUUGUGCUGCUUACAGAUGGUAGAAAGCUAAUGGGAACACUCUGUUCUUUUUGAUCAAUUGAGAAGAAGAGGAAGCCCGUCUCUAAGAACGAAUCAAUCAAUGGCAAUGACAUACAUGAGGAAGAGAGGAUAAAGUGCGAGAGCUUUUCUUUUCGGGUUCACUGCAGCGCUCAUGAAAGGAUAAGCAGCCCAAGAGCUCCAGGCAACGAUCAUUUUGAGUAUCACAUUGUCCUUCAACAUGCAGAUCACAGCUCCAACGUCCAGUGGGAAUAGACAGUAGCCCCAAAAGGUAAGAGCAUCCGCAAUGGUGAGUCCCAUUGCGGAGUCCUUAGAUAGAUAAAUAUUUUUUUUUUGUUUUGUUUUUGUUUAAAUAGUUAAGGAUCCGAAUCGAAAUGGUGAGUCCAAUAGUGAGUCCCAUU